AGAGUUUGAUCCUGGCUCAGAUUGAACGCUGGCGGCAGGCUUAACACAUGCAAGUCGAGCGGUAACAGGGGGUGCUUGCACCCCGCUGACGAGCGGCGGACGGGUGAGUAAUGCUUAGGAAUCUGCCCAGUAGUGGGGGAUAGCCCGGGGAAACCCGGAUUAAUACCGCAUACGUCCUACGGGAGAAAGCAGGGGAUCUUCGGACCUUGCGCUACUGGAUGAGCCUAAGUCGGAUUAGCUAGUUGGUGGGGUAAAGGCCUACCAAGGCGACGAUCCGUAGCUGGUCUGAGAGGAUGAUCAGCCACAUCGGGACUGAGACACGGCCCGAACUCCUACGGGAGGCAGCAGUGGGGAAUAUUGGACAAUGGGGGCAACCCUGAUCCAGCCAUGCCGCGUGUGUGAAGAAGGCUUUCGGGUUGUAAAGCACUUUCAGCGAGGAGGAAGGCUCUGAAGUUAAUACCUUCAGGGAUUGACGUUACUCGCAGAAGAAGCACCGGCUAACUCCGUGCCAGCAGCCGCGGUAAUACGGAGGGUGCAAGCGUUAAUCGGAAUUACUGGGCGUAAAGCGCGCGUAGGUGGUUAGGUAAGCGAGAUGUGAAAGCCCCGGGCUUAACCUGGGAACGGCAUUUCGAACUGUCUGACUAGAGUGUGGUAGAGGGUAGUGGAAUUUCCUGUGUAGCGGUGAAAUGCGUAGAUAUAGGAAGGAACACCAGUGGCGAAGGCGGCUACCUGGACCAACACUGACACUGAGGUGCGAAAGCGUGGGGAGCAAACAGGAUUAGAUGCCCUGGUAGUCCACGCCGUAAACGAUGUCAACUAGCCGUUGGGACUCUUGAAGUCUUAGUGGCGCAGCUAACGCACUAAGUUGACCGCCUGGGGAGUACGGCCGCAAGGUUAAAACUCAAAUGAAUUGACGGGGGCCCGCACAAGCGGUGGAGCAUGUGGUUUAAUUCGACGCAACGCGAAGAACCUUACCUGGCCUUGACAUCCAGAGAACUUUCCAGAGAUGGAUUGGUGCCUUCGGGAACUCUGAGACAGGUGCUGCAUGGCCGUCGUCAGCUCGUGUCGUGAGAUGUUGGGUUAAGUCCCGUAACGAGCGCAACCCCUAUCCCUGGUUGCUAGCAGGUAAUGCUGAGAACUCCAGGGAGACUGCCGGUGACAAACCGGAGGAAGGUGGGGAUGACGUCAGGUCAUCAUGGCCCUUACGGCCAGGGCUACACACGUGCUACAAUGGCGCGUACAGAGGGCUGCCAACUCGCGAGAGUGCGCCAAUCCCUUAAAACGCGUCGUAGUCCGGAUCGGAGUCCGCAACUCGACUCCGUGAAGUCGGAAUCGCUAGUAAUCGCGAAUCAGAAUGUCGCGGUGAAUACGUUCCCGGGCCUGUACUCAAAGCCCGUC
rnacentral:rRNA from 1 species